rnacentral:tRNA from 1 species
AAGUCCGUAGUUUAUAUUAAAACUCAUCGUUUACACCGAUGUUAAAGAUACGAGUUAUCUCGGACUUA